UACGACUACAUAUCAGGCAUAUCAAUAAGCGGAGGAAAAGAAACUAACAAGGAUUCCCUUAGUAACGGCGAGUGAAGCGGGAAGAGCUCAAAUUUGAAAUCUUCAAGGUUCUACCUUGACGAAUUGUAGUUUAAAGAAGUGUUUUCUGUUAGAUGAGUAGCAAAAGUUCCUUGGAAUGGGACAUCAUAGAGGGUGAGAAUCCCGUAUUUGGUUAUUCAUUCUAGCUUUGUGAUACACUUUCAAAGAGUCGGAUUGUUUGGGAAUGCAGUCCAAAAUGGGUGGUAAAUUUCAUCUAAAGCUAAAUAUUGGCGAGAGACCGAUAGCGAACAAGUACCGUGAGGGAAAGAUGAAAAGAACUUUGAAAAGAGAGUUAAACAGUACGUGAAAUUGUCAAAAGGGAAGCGUUUGACACCAGUGUUGUUUUUCCGAAAAUCAAUUACGAAUGGCUUGAUUUUGUGUUGUAUUGACCUUAUCAGCUUUCUUCACUUUUUUCGAGUCUUUCUUAAUGCACUUUUCGGUUAACAAGUCAACAUCAAUUUCUUUUGUUGUAAAAGAGUAUUCGGAAGGUGGCUUUCUUUUCGGAGAAAGUGUUUAUAGCCCUAUACUUCUACAAUCGGAGAGAUUGAGGUCUGCAGCGUAGAUCCUUCGGGGUUAGAUACAUUUGUGCUAAGUUGUAGCUUUUCAUAGACAACUUGUUGACUAUGUUUAGUCAUGCGGCUUACUCGCUUAUGCUAUUUUACCUACGCUUAGGAUGUUGAGUAGCGACAUACGCAC
rnacentral:rRNA from 1 species